rnacentral:lncRNA from 1 species
CCUCAACGUCAUCUUCAACAACAAUGGCCACAUCCAUGGCUUCAGUUAAGUCUAUCACAAAAGUCCCUUCUAGACCCUCUUCUUGAUAGAACUCCCCUUCAUAUGUGUCAGUGUCAAGGUUGUAAUCUUCCUUGUUUGGUACCGGUAGUCCACCGUGCGGCGAUACCUUGUGCACAACAUCCCAACCCUUAAGACGUGCAUCGAUUUAGCACGGUUACGACAUAUAAUAAACUUGUGUGGUCUAUUGGGCCACAAUGUAUACAUCAUCUCCUGGUAAGACGGAAUCCGAUCGAAUUUCAACUAGCCCAAGAUUAGGCGUCCAUCUUGUUAGUUCAGGGUCAAACCAAAGGCAUUUGAAUAUGACAGAUUUAAUAUCUAUGCAACCAUGAAACGUGAGUUCGUAUAUGUCUUCAAUUCUUCCAUAAUGGUACAUCCCAUUUUGGCCGUGCGUGAAAACUCCGGUCUUUGUGGUUUUCUGGUUAGGACGACUUUGCUCGUGCCUUGUUGUGUGGAAGAGAUAUGCAUUCACGUUAUAACCGGCAUAUGACAUGACCCUAUGUGCACAACCAUGGGCAACCUGUCUCAACUCGAUCCAAGACAAAAUUUUGGCAACACCUCCCCGCUGUUCUCCAAAUACAUGUCCCGGCGGGAGGUUGUGUAUCCAGAGAACAACAGGGAGGUGAUGCCGAAACUCUAUCUCGAAUCGGAGUGGACCU